GACGAACGCUGGCGGCGUGCUUAACACAUGCAAGUCGAACGGAAAGGCCCUGCUUUUGUGGUGUUCUCGAGUGGCGAACGGGUGAGUAACACGUGAGUAACCUGCCCUUGACUUUGGGAUAACUUCAGGAAACUGGGGCUAAUACCGGAUAGGAUCUCCUGCUGCAUGGUGGGGGGUGGAAAGUUUCGGCGGUUGGGGAUGGACUCGCGGCUUAUCAGCUUGUUGGUUGGGGAGUGGCUUACCAAGGCUUUGACGGGUAGCCGGCCUGAGAGGGUGACCGGCCACAUUGGGACUGCGAUACGGCCCAGACUCCUACGGGAGGCAGCAGUGGGGAAUAUUGCACAAUGGGCGGAAGCCUGAUGCAGCAACGCCGCGUGCGGGAUGACGGCCUUCGGGUUGUAAACCGCUUUCGCCUGUGACGAAGCGUGAGUGACGGUAAUGGGUAAAGAAGCACCGGCUAACUACGUG
rnacentral:rRNA from 1 species